rnacentral:lncRNA from 1 species
CGCGCGCUGUCCCCCGGAGGCGUCUGGGUGUGCGGAGCGCGCGCGCGCGGCUCGGAGGCGCACCUGUGAGGUGUCCCUUGAGGAGAGGGAGGGUGGGUGCGCGGAGCCCGCGGCCUGGGGCGCUUCAACCCCUCACUUGGAAGCGCCCCGCGUCCCAGCAGAGUCCGCCGAGCAUCCUACUCAGGUGAUGAGGAACCCUUCGCGCCCCGAGCGCAGAACGCCGCUGCCGCUGGACGCCUCCAUUGUUUGACCACAACAAGGGCCGGAUUCUCACCCAGUUCCUAGUCUAGUGUGUCACCAUCUGAGCUAGUGCUGACCGUCUGGGCUGGAGAGCCUUCUCCAGACCCCCGAUGUACUUGCCAGCUGCACACGUGUCAGGAAGAUUCAUCCCAUGGCCACUCCAGCCCACUGCAGUUGGUGGUGGUGAUUUUUGGACCUGCAAAUCCAAGAGAUACAUCUCUCUGGAAGAUAAGAGAGCUUCUUCCCCAAGAUCAAAAAAGGAGACUGGAGUGAGACUCAUGUAGGGAAUCCCCAGAAGGAAGGAUUGGCACACCUGGAACCCGAGGAGCUUGCUU